rnacentral:rRNA from 1 species
UACGUAGGGGGGCUAGCGUUGUCCGGAAUCAUUGGGCGUAAAGCGCGCGUAGGCGGCCCGGUAAGUCCGUUGUGAAAGUCAAAGGCUCAACCUUUGAAAGCCGAUGGAUACUGCCGGGCUAGAGUCCGGAAGAGGCGAGUGGAAUUCCUGGUGUAGCGGUGGAAUGCGCAGAUAUCAGGAGGAACACCGAUAGCGAAGGCAGCUCGCUGGGACGGUACUGACGCUGAGGCGCGAAAGCGUGGGAGCGAACAGG